AUUUAUGUGUGUUUUAGGCUAAGCUUUUAUUGAAUUGUUUCUGGUAUAUAAUUUACAUAUGUGUGGUUAACAGAAUGGCAAGCUCAAGGCGGCGAGGGGAUGGCAGUGGUAGCGACAACGACAAAGAUGGCCCUAAAGUUGUCAAAGCAUCAAGUGAAAACAAUGGGACUAUAAUUUUUUUCUUUAUAUAUUUCAACUAUAGUGGCAUAUGCUACAUCAUAUGUUGGAUUAUGCUACAUUAUUGUUAUUAUAUAUUGAUUUGCAGCAAGAAACUGGUAUUCUUGAAUAGGAAGUUCUAGUUUGGUCCAAAAAUUUUCUUGCUUUUAUGGUCGUGUUCAUCAUAUAUAAUUGCAUUAUGGAUUUUGUAGGUCUAAAAUCUCUUGUGUUUUUAUCCGAAAUCUAAUAGUUCUGAACAAAAUUCGUCUAAUUGACUGAAAUUAUAUAGCAAAUCCCUUAUUUAUCUUUCUUGAAAUCAGAAUGCCUUCUCUCAUUCUCUGUAGGUCCUCAUUUAUGAUGUUGGCCAAGUUUGUUAGGAAUCACACUUGUGAGUAGGCUUAAUUAGUUAGUCCUCUUAUGUUGUGAAUGCAGCAAAAGAUAUAUGUGAAAGGUGGUGAGAAGGAGCAAGCGAUCGAAUUCAAAGUAUACAAUCAGGGCAUGUUGAAGACUGAGCUGUGCAACAAAUGGCAACAGACUGGAGCUUGCCCUUAUGGAGAUAACUACUAAUUUGCUUAUGGCAUUGCAGAGCUCCGGCCAGGCGUUCGCCACCCUCGUUUCGAGACCAAGGUCGGCCGCAUGAUCCUAAUCGGCGUCCCUUGCCCUUAUGGCCACCCCUGCUGCCACUACUCUCACCAAGGAGGAGCAGCUCAUGAGGGCCCAUCAAUUCCAACUCUCUUCAACGUAUGAGCUACCGCUAACAUCUUGAUUAACUACUCUUUAUCUUAAGGAAACUGGAGAUUGUGUUUUGCAUGAAGAGUAUGUUACUAAGUAGAAAUGGGUUUCGAUUAUGUAAGUAUAUAAGCAUCAAAUGUGGUAGUAACAACAAUCAGAGAUGCUAGGCUUUGUUUGCAUAGAAUUUAGAAUGGCUUAGGAUCUGAAAUAGAGAAGUGUGUGCUUACAUCAUUUUGUGACUUUGUUUUAUGUUUAAAUGUCAUUAUUUGUAAUAAUGCAUUACCUCACUGAUUAUUUGUGUUGAAAACUGAUUUCGGAGAAUACAUAAGUUUUAGAUUCUUGACAAUAUUUAGAACAUGUUAAGCAAUAACAAAAAACUAAUGUAUAUUCAUGUAUUUUGUGAUUGGACUUUGUUCUUGGUUCACUUAACUUUCUCUCUAACUUGUUCCAGACAUAUAUAAAUGCAUGAAUCAACUUAUCAUCUUGAUUAUGUGCUCUAAGAGUUCAGCCAAUGAAUAUUUGUAUUUAUAUAUGCUCUGCUCCAAGAUCCUUUACAGCUUCUUAGCAUGAGCAUUUGGUCUUCCUUUUCAUAUGGAGUAUUCUUGAAUUUUGUAUUUAUUGCAUGCCAUUUUCCAUUCUUUAUAAUUUCAGUUACCUGGCUCAGUAAUAGUUGAGUAAACAUAUUGAUAGUUAUAUUAUUUAAUAUUCUCUAUGAUUAACAAUCACUAAAUUUAAGUAUUUUCAUUAAAUAAAUAUGGUCAGAUAGGUCCGCAUGAUUCAUAACUUGCUUGUGAAACUUAUGUUUCUAAUUCCUUAUCAUAGUUUAGAAUGAUAAUGGUUUUAAUUGAUUGAGAUGGGAAAUAAUUCGUGAGCCAUAUAAUUAACUACAUCGUAUAUAAAUUCGUACACGGUAUUUCUGUUUUAAAAGCUCCAUAAUUUGCAGUUCCAAACAAAUACGGUAUAAAUUUUAGUAAAGUUGCAUAACAAUGAAAACUUCUUAAAUUCUGAAGAUAAUAAGUAAACUUUAAUUUGUUCAACUUCCUUUAUGAAAUGCUUAUAAAUUUACAUUUAUAAGUAAUUCUAACUGGUGGUAUAUAUUGACGGUAGACUGAUCAAUUUAUUCCAUUUUUGCUUCUGACAACUAUUUGGGUUAAUUUUCAUCAUAGGAAUUACAAUUCUUUCUAGUCCAUGUUGUUUGUUGUUUCUUUCUGGUCUGUAUUGUUUGUUGUUCUUUCAGUCAUCGCAUUUACCGUGACUCUUUACUUAAUGCAUUUUUGUUGGAUUUUACUUGUAGCCUAGACGGAUUCAAAGCAUUGCAUAGAUUGGUGAUACAAUGGAAGAGAGUAUCCAGAAUGGAUGAAGAUGUAGAAUGUUUGGAUCGAUGUUCUCCUACAAUUUUCCAUCGAUUGUUCAGCCAAUGAUAUAAACCAGUUGUUUUAUUGUUCUUUUGGAUAUGUUUUUCAACUUUAGAAUUUCUUUCAUACUGGUGCAGUUUUAGUAGAAAAUGCAUAACACUUUGUAUUGUUUGGUACGUGUGUUUAAUUUAUAUAAAUGUGGCAUAAACCAUGACACGCUUUGGAUCUCUUUAUAUUCAAUUUGUAUGUAUUUUUUUU
rnacentral:lncRNA from 1 species